GCGCGUAUAUAUACAUAAGGCAAGGGAUUAUUCACAAAAGCUAAUGCAAAAAUAAUCUUAGUAAUAUAUGUGUCAUUUAGAGUUGCCACAUAUAAACUGGAGUUACUGUGAUAUCGAAAAUCAAGUAACAUUAAAAACGUACUGGUCAACGCAUUCGAACAUAUGCAAACAAACGACGGCAGACAGUGGACGGUGGACUUGCCUGGCCUUUCCAAGAAGAGUCUUCUUACAAGUUGGAUUCAGAGCUUCAGAUUAAUGUGAAUUAACGUCGCUUGUCGCUUUUUUCCCAGUGAGGCACGCCACUCUUUCAUCUGAUGUACUGACCCUGCAGGAUUCUCCCUUCCCAAUGGCUGGAGGGGGGAUGAGGAUGAGGAGGGGAGGAGAUAGCGACCACGAAACCUUCAAGGACCGCUGAAAUUUUGGUAAACUGUUCCUCAGUCUGUCGGAGCGCUGAAUGACCCCAUAGGACUAAAUCUCACAUUCUUAUUCCUACUCCUCCUCAGUCUAUCGGGGUCAGUGCCCAAGCCUCAAGUCACUGAGCUUGCAGCACCACCAAGACACAACUGCAGAUAGUGUACACUUAAACAGCCAGAUCAAUAGCAACUUCAGUGCCUGGCAAGUAUGCCCAAAAUCUAUAGAUCAAACAAUCAGUCAAUAUCAGUGGCAACUUCAGUGCAGGUGAUUUGUGACAGUCCCUCCUAAUAAAUAGGAUAGUGUUCUUUAGGUUGGUUCGUACUACAAGACGGGUUAUUCCGCUAAUGAAUCCACGGCUAAAUUAUGAAGAGAUGCUUUUUUAAGGGAAUAGGGUCCUGUGACGACUGAGCGAAUCUUUCAAGUGAUUUGGUGAAUGUAGAAAAUAAAAGAGCUACAGGUCUGAAGAAUGCGAGAAUGGAAAGAGUUAGUUUAAAUCUGAAAACGCUUGUGAAAAUGACUUUUGAUAAUGUAGAGAGAGCGGUCAAGAGAUGAUCAAGAAGGCGCCAGGGAUGGAUGGAGUUGUGUGAGAUGCCAUGAGUAUCUUCAAUGUUUCUGUCACUAGCCUAAUGAAUCGACAUGUUCCCAGUCACUAGCAAAUGACGUGUUCCAACUCCGUUUGAUGUCCUAGAUGUCUGAUUGAUGGGGUUGGUUUGGUGGUUCUCGUUUAUACCUCUCUUGAUCGUUUUAUCUCCUUCCGGGAUGGCAACGAAAGUGAAACGGCUUGCUUCAGUUGCGCUCGAAUAUGAGCACUGCGUAUGCUACGCUUUUUCGAAGUAGCAAAUUGAGACUUACUACACCUAGUGUUUGCCGAGCUUUCUCUCCAACUUCAAGGUCUCGUUUAGAAGUAGAGUCAUUAAUGAUGAGUCUCUCUCUCUCUCUCUCUCUCUCUCUCUCUCUCUCUCUCUUGAUGAAACCCCUCCAUCUCCUUGCCAAAGGAGGUCGUACGUGGCUUGCUUGUUAUUAUGACCUGUUCGCAUGAAUUUGCAUUUAUUUUAGUUGAUUGAUUGAUUGAUUGAUUGAUUGAUUGAUGCAAAAAAAAAGUACCAUGGCGUCCCAACAACUUAAGUCAUCGACGCCGGAAAUAUACCGUUACGUAAUUAAAAAUUAAAUAGAUAAUAAAUAAGUAAAAAAAAAUUAAAAAUGUUCUUUUAUACACUUAAGUUUCAAGUAUGAUAUCAUUUACACUUUACUAUAAAAAGUUAUAACUUUCGUAGGAAGUCUGCUUCCUCCACAAACCUAAAAAUACCACUCGCCUGACUAAUAAUAUUCCUUCCAAGUACCUUGGAGAGAAGGUAUUCACCUUCCUCAUUACGGCACUCUGAGAGGAAACGCUCUCUUAUGUCCUGAAGACUGGGACACUCGACCAGCAAGUGUCGCACAGUCAGAGGAACUAGGCAGUCAUCACAGAAUGGCUGGGGAUGUCCAGCCAUUAAAUAACCAUGUGUUAGGUGUGUGUGGCCAAUUCUUAAGCGGCAAAGGGCCGUUUCCCAUCUCCUCGACAUUUUGCUGUAAAUAAAAGGAAUUGCUGAUCUCGUAAUUUCCAACAUCUUUUGAUUGCUUUCUACUAAAUUUUCCCAUAUAUUUGCCAUUUCUCUCGGGCUUUUUUGUGUAUGUAAGGGAAAAAAUCUCUAAAUGGUAGUGCAAUAUUUCUUUGU